CUCCUAUUUUGAGCGCUCUAGUGAGACCAAGGUGAUUAGUGAGCGCCAGUUUGGCGUUUCCUUCUCCUCGCACGAUUUUUUCCUCUUCUAUUACAACUUGGAUUCCUUCAAUUCUUCUUCAAGUCCAAAACAAAUUUCAAACUCUCAAUUGAACUCCUGAAUUGAAUUCCCAAAUACACUUCAAUUAAAAUUCCCAAAUAGUCUCCCAAAUGGAAUUCGGGCCACAUCCUAAUUCUAACAUAUUACGUCAUAAAAAUUGUUGUAAAAGAUGUGCAAGGGAAGUGCAACGGUUGUGCGUCUGUACAUGUGAAAGAAGAGCGAUAUCAUGUGUGUCUGUGGUGGAUUUUUUUGAUUCAUGAACAAUCAUGUACAGGAAAAUUGAUUGUUGUCUUCCAUGUUGGUUAAUGAAUUUUAAUCAUUACAAUAGGAAAUUAAUUUUCCUUUGAAUAUUAAAAAUCAUGUAAAUAAGGUUAUAAUUGACCUUGAGAUCAUUGGAUUAUAAAAUCCUCACAUAUAUAGAAAGGGGAGAUGAUAACCUUUUUGAAGGAACUAUUAAUGGCCUAGCCAAUUGCUUCCUCUCUUAGAUCUUCUCCCUCGUUCUCCACUAGGUGUAAUUCCUUUUAAGGGAAUGUGAAAAGUGGCUAACCCUAAUUCUCCUUCAAAAUAUGCCAAUAAAGUGCAUAUUUAUAAUGACCUAUUAGGGUUUGGAAAUUACACAAUUUUUCUUAGACUUUAUUGUAGUUGGCCAAUUAAGUCACACACCUUUUAUUAGAGCCAAGAGAGGGACCUAAUUGGACUUACAUGACCCAAACUUCAAUAGAUAUUUUUUAAUUGGGUCAACCUUUGACCAAUUGAGAUACAUCUAUUAAUCCCGACUUAUUCUACCAAAAAAUUGAGACUGCACUCUCGAGUGGAGUGAUAGUUAUAGAAGCAAAUUAUGAUCCAAUAACAAUAUCCUCUGAUUAUCGUUCCACAAGUCAACCCCCAUUUGACCGUCAAUAUAUUGAAACUAGAAAAAUGACCAUUUUGCCCUUCAACAUGUAUUACCGUCAAGUCCCAUUUUCAUACGGCAAAUUCGUUGUGAUCAAAUCACAAUGUAAAGUCCAAAGAUCUCAUCGUCGACCUACUGAGCUCAGAUUCAAUUUGCCUAGAAAAAUACCUUAGAGUGACGAUCGUCUCAUCUCAAUGAUUAAUGGAUUCCAAUAUUGUAAGUAUAUGAUCCCUAAUUAUUUUGGCCUGAUUCCCAAAGCACCGAGAUCAAUCUUCCAUUUAAGACUUCACUCAUUGGUACCUCAAAGAACUUGAACUAGCAAUCAAAGGUACAUUACUCACUCAGAAUUUAGGUGACCUGUUUGAUAAUCAAGUAGAGUCUCAUUUCAAAUGGUCACAAAUGAGUCAUCUACGUAGUCUCAUUCAAUGUGCAUCGAAACACAUUAUUGUUCUUAUUUCAAGAUCUAGACAAAUCUUAAUAAGAACAAUACAAUCUUAUCAACAUAUAGCGUCCAACUUUAUGAACCGAUUGUGAACGACAUAAUUUUGAUCACAUCACAAAUUGUAUCUUACUAUACCCAAUCCAUCGAGUAUACAAUUUGUGACAUCCUAUAUGAUCAUGAAACCUUAGACAAUCACUUCAAAUUAUAACACGCAAAUAAACGAACGUAAAUUCAUAAUGUGAUUUUACAGAACAUUACUCGAAGAAUGGGCAUCAAACUAACAUUCCAUACAUGUUUAAUUUAUAGAAGUAUAUUAAAAUCUAUAAAAGAAAGCAAGCCUAUCUUCUCAAUGGUGAAAUUCCUGGCAUGUGAAAGUGAAAUUAAACAUGUAGCAUUUCUUCCUUAUUGUCUGUCGUGGUUUGUUUUUCCCCAUGACGGAAACACUAUAGGAAAAUCAGUUCUCCUCACUACAGUUCUGAUAUGAUCCAGAAGUCGAGCCCGACGAAGGUAAGUGCGAGACGAGACCAGUUGAUAGUCGAGGCGGACCAAUGACGCGAUCAAGGGCAAAGCAAGUGAAACAAGUGAUGGGAUUGCUCGUUCAAGAAUCUAUUGAUGGAACCAUAUUUGGGACUCAAAAUGGGACAAGUUUCGUGUUCGGGUCGAAGGCCGAAACAAAAUGGGUCAAUGCGUUACAAGCAACCGAAGACGACACUGGGUAGUGUAACCAUGCGGCCGCACAGCAUGAUACCGAGAAUCAAAAUGGCCAAAAUCUUAUUACCAUGUGGCCGCACAUGUUAUAACCAUGCGACCGCAUGGUUCAUUUCGGGGCGCGAUUUUCCUUUUUUCUGCGUUUUCCUUAUUUUACUAGAAUUUCAUUCUUAAUCAAAUUCCUACCAUAUUGGACGAAUAUUUUAGGAAUUUUGUUAGAUUAUUAGAAUUAUAUUUCCUUGACUUCUAUUCGAGGAAUAGUAUAAAUAGGAGAUUACUUUUGAUUGUAAAAAAACCUUUGAACUUUUGACAUUGCUUAAUAUUAUAGUGAGAGAAUUAUUCUUUCAAUUUAAUUGUUCUUCUUGAACAAUCUUGGAACUUAUCAAGAUUCAACUUCUUGUGGUGUUCUAUCAAUCGGAUUGUGGGUUCUUUCAAUUGUAAUCAAGGGGUUUUAGGUUUUUCGCUAAUCUAGGGUUUCUUGGUUCAAUUCUUGGGGUUCAAGAUCCAAAACCGGGUUAGUAUUGGUGUUCUUGGGUUCUGCAUCAAUCUCGUUGUGGGUUUCGUAGUUUCCAUUGCUAUGGGGUUCGCAUCAGUUGGUAUCAGAGCUUUGGUUCCAAUUUAAUCAGGUUAUAUCCUUUGUUUUCUAAUUUUUUUUUUCAAUUUCUUGUGUUCUUGUGUCCAGAAGGUUUUUUUGAUCUUUGAUCCAAAAAAUUUCAUCAAAAAUCUUCAAAUUCCGUUUUUGGGCUCAAUUUUCGCCCAAAUCAGUUUUCGUUUUCUUUGUUGGUUUUGUUAUUGAUUUCUGGAUCUUAAAAAAAAUUAAUGUUCAUCAGUACGGUACUGUUCAUCCGUACAGUAAAAAAAACUUUUUGAAUAUUAUUGAUCCGACAAAUACCAACUAUUAUUAUUCAUUAUCGCUUCUAAAUUACUUGGACACAUUAAAUCAUUCCAUUCCUUCAUUCAAAUCAAGUUUUAAAAGUUUUCUUUGAGUCCUGUGUUACAAUUAUUGAGUCACAUCUGGUUUGGGGAAUUCUACUUGAACUGAUUGAUUGAUUGAGUUCAUUGAUUGUUCCUAGAAGCAAUUGUUGAAAGAAUUCAGUGGUAAAAGGUAGAGAGGUGAGCUUAAUAGAGGGUAAAAGCCUUGUGUGUGUUCCGAGUGACUUUUGGUGAGGCAGUAAAAUAAAAUUUUAGUGUUAGGAUGUCAAAAAGGGCAGAAUCAAACUCAAGCUGACAAGGUAAUAAUAGCAAUGCAACGGAGGAUUUAGUGCAGAGGUUUGAGAGGGCGUUUGGAGAUGUGAGAGAUAGGUUGGAGAAGUAGGAGGCUUGGACGAAUAGAUUAGAUACAUCGGUGGCUAAUCUUAGUCGAGGGCAUCGAGUGGAUGUAUCCAAUGCCAGAGGACCGGAUAGAUGGAAGCCUAGGAGAGAAAGGCGAGAUGAGUAUGGAUAUGGAAGUAACAUGGGCGAAGAUGAAUUUCACGGUGUUGAGAUGGGAAGGAUGAGGAAUAGAGGCAAUAGGUUCGACAGACGGGGUCGGAAUGAUCGCGGGGAGGAGUUGGAUGGAAACUUGAGAAAUAUAAAAAUGACAGUUCCUUCAUUCAAAGGAAGGAGUGAUCCCGAGGCAUACCUGGAUUUGGAAAGGAAGGUUGAAAUGAUCUUCGAGUGUUAUAACUAUUCGGAGGAGAAAAAGGUGAAGUUAGCAGUUUUGGAGUUCAGUGACUAUGCAAUUUCAUGGUGGGAUCAAGUGAUUACUUCACAACGUAGGAGUGGGGAAAGACCAAUCAGCACUUGGGAGGAAUUGAAGCCAUUGAUGAAAAAGAGGUUUGUUCCUAGCCACUAUUAUCGAGAGAUCCAUCAAAAACUGCAAGGUCUAUAUCAAGGGUCGAAAAGUAUAGAGGAUUAUCAUAAGGAGAUGGAAAUACUCAAGAUUAGGGCCAAUGUGGUGAAGGAUCGGGAGGCUACCAUGGCACAAUUCUUGAAUGUGUUGAAUAGGGAAAUUACCAAUAUAGUGGAGUUGCAACAUUAUGUAGAGUUGGAAGACAUGUUGCAUGUGGCUGUGAAGAUAGAGAGAUAGCUGAAGAGGAAAGGGGCAACUAGGCAGCUGUUAGGAACUUCGAGUGUUAAUCCAUCUUGGAAGUCAGGGUGGAACAACAACAAUAAAGGUGAUAAAGCAGUACCUAAAGGUAGGAAUGAAUGGCAGAAAGGAAAAGAAGAAAGUGCUAGCAAAACAGCACCCAAAACAGAUUCACAACCAUCAAGGAAUUGAGACAUCAAGUGUUUUAGAUGCUUGGGAUCAGGGCAUAUUGCUUCUCAAUGCCCAAAUAAAUGGGUAAUGAUUUUGUUGGAUAAUGGAGAGGUGGUGAGUGAAAGUGAAUGAGAGUUUGAAGACAUGCCUGCGUUGGAGGACGUGGAAGAAGAAGAAAAAUUGGAGUUUGCUGUUGGGGAAUCGUUGGUGUCAAGGAGAGCUCUUAACACUCAAGUUAAAGUGGAUGAUUCGGAGCAGCAGCGAGAAAAUAUAUUCCACACACGUUGUUACGUCAACGAUAAGGUAUGUAGUAUGAAUAUUGAUGGUGGGAGUUGCACGAAUGUAGCUAGCACAACUUUAGUUGAGAAAUUAGGACUAGCAUUGUUAAGACACCCUAGGCCUUAUAAGUUGCAAUGAUUGAAUGAAAGUGGGGAAGUUAGGGUGAAUAAAAGAGUUUUAAUUAAUUUCUCAAUUGGGAGUUAUAGUGACAAAGUAGUAUCUGAUGUGGUGCCUAUGCAUGUGGGUCAUAUCUUAUUAGGAAGGCAAUGGCAAUAUGAUAGAAAGGUCACACAUGGUGGUUAUAGGAAUCGUUCUAGCUUUGUCAAGGAUGGGAAGACUAUUACUCUUGAACUAUUAACACUGGCACAAGUGUAUGGAGAUCAAAUCAAGCUGAAAAGUGAGGAAGACGAGCGACUAAGAGAGUCGAGAAGAAGGAGAGGCAAUAGUGAAACCAUCACUAAGAAAGAAAAUAGUGAGGUGGCUGAGAGUGGAGAAAAGAGAGAGAAGCCACAUGAGCGGAGAGAAAAAGAGUCAUUUGAGAGGAGAGAAAAAGAGUCAGCUGAGCGGAGAGAAAAGCCAAAGGUCAACUUUAUGCAAAAGAGAGUGAGUUGAAAAAGGCUAUGAGUGAUAAUAGGCAAAUGAUAUUGUUAGUGUACAAGGAGUCCCUCCUCAAUUUCGAGGAUUCUAACACAUCCCUCCCUAGUUUGGUUAAGUCUUUAUUGCAGGAGUUCGACGAUGUGUUUCCUGAGGAGAUGCCAAGUGGAUUGCCACCAAUCAGAGGCAUCGAGCACCAGAUUGACUUUGUACCCGGAGCUGUCAUACCGAAUUGACCAGCUUACCGAAGCAGUCCCGAGGAGACGAAGGAGCUUCAAAAGCAAGUGGAGGAGUUGAUGAGCAAAUGUUAUGUCAGGGAGAGCAUGAGUCCAUGUGCUGUACCUGUUUUGCUGGUGCCUAAGAAGGACGGGACUUGGAAAAUGUGCGUGGAUUGCCGAACUAUCAAUAAUAUCACGCUAAAGUAUCGUCACCCAAUACCUAGACUAGAUGAUAUGCUUGAUGAGUUGCAUGGUGCUUGCAUUUUUAGCAAGAUUGAUCUUAAGAGUGGGUAUCAUCAAAUUUGCAUGUGGGAGGGUGAUGAAUGGAAAACGGCAUUUAAGACUAAGUAUGGAUUGUAUGAAUGUUUAGUUAUGCCGUUUGGACUCACUAAUGCACCAAGCACUUUUAUGUGUUUAAUGAACCAUGUUUUGCGUGCUUUUAUUGGGAAAUUUGUUGUAGUUUAUUUUGAUGACAUCUUAAUCUAUAGCAAAAACAUAGAUGAGCAUUUAGAACAUUUAAAUUGUGUGCUUGUUGUGUUGCGAAAGGAACAACUAUAUGCUAAUUUCAAAAAGUGCACAUUUUGCAUGGAUAGAGUUGUUUUCCUAGGAUUUGUGGUUAGUGCUAACGGGGUGGAAGUCGAUGAAGAAAAGAUAAAAGCUAUUAAAGAAUGGCCAACACCUAAGACUAUAACUGAAGUUAGGAGUUUUCAUGGAUUGGCUAGUUUUUAUAGGCGAUUUGUAAGAGAUUUUAGCACCAUCACCACACCGUUGACUGAAAUAGUAAAGAAGAGUGUAGGUUUUCAUUGGGGAGAAUCUCAAGAAAUUGCAUUUAACACAAUUAAGGAUAAGCUAUGUAAAGNUCAACAAUUUUAACUUAAAGAGAAGAAAAUUCGAAAAAAGAAUCUCUUGAACACUUGCGCCAGAAGUUCUUGCUGAUGUUUAUAGAAUUUUAAGUGCAAAAUGUGGAACUGGACAAGGACAAAAAGGAAGUUAUUGAACUUAAGGUUACGAAAAUAUAGAAAACUUCUUUUUUGUUAGGCAAUUUGUUAUUAAACGACCUCUCCAGGCGAUGAUGUAACCUCGGUUUUUAUUAUCAAUCGGCCUUGGCUAUAUAAUUGACUAGUACAUCGACACAAUUAUCGAGACAACACAAUCCACAUUUUUAUGGACCGUUCGAAGCAACCUAUUUUAAAUAGUGUUGCUCACAGUUCGCCCCAUUUCCUUGGAAGGCUAUAUUAUUAUUUUGAAGCCCACUUUAAUUGAGUCGAGCCUUGUUUGGUCCACAAUUUAACCCUAACCUAACUUACCUAUUUUGGACAUUUACUUGGCAUAUAAUCCCACCUUCCUCUCGGCCUCCAUGGAGUGUGCCUAUUUUUCUCUUCUCUUUGUGAGACUCUCUACUCGGCUGCUUGAUAUACUUUACUGUGACCUUUGUGGUUAAUCCUUUGUGGGCACAUCACUGGACUUCACUUUCCAACCUAUAGCUACCGGAGUGGGGCGGUGGCAGUGGUGGUUCUUGGAGUUGUCUCAACCUUUGUGGUGUCGAUGAAAUUGGUAAACUGAACCCGAUUUUGUACUUGGAGUUCGGUGGAAAUCAACAAUACAUUUUUAAUGGUUCUAGUUGUCAUUUAUAGAAUUUAAGUGCACUGAAAGGGGCCCUUGUUUCCAAAAAAAUGUGGAACUGGAUAAGGACAAAAGGAAUUUAUUGAACUUAAGGGAACAGCCCCAUUCCAACUGGUGCAGGCUUGGGUAGGAGAGAUUUCAAACAUUAAGUGCCACGCCUAAUUCGACUUGGUUUGGUGAGCCAAGAUUGGCUCCAUGGCAUGGUAUAAAGGAACUGGGAUAGAAGAAAGUGUUAUUGACACUAGAUGGAGCUAAAGAAGAUUUUACUCGGCUCCCUUUCACGAGGGCUGCAAACAACUUCCUCCCUCUCAUGGUUAUCAAGGAAAAUUAUUAUUGAGAAUAUUUCUAUUUGGUUCAUGUGAUGAAAUUGAAGGGCUUGUUUGAUGUUUGAGAUUGAGCAAGCUUGUUAGCCUGGAAAUUGAUUGCACUGAACUUGCCAUUCAUUGAUUUUUAGCAGCAUCCCCAAAAUGUCCGGAAAUAUGGCCAAUAUCUCUCACAUCGCUUGACCAUACGAUUCUAUCUAUUUUAUUUCAUACUACUCAUCAAUAAAGCUCCAGUAUUCACUGAACAUGAUAUAUAAUUUGGAAUAAAUUUUUCGAAUCAAAUUGUAGAAAGACUCCAACCCAUCUUGAAAAUUAUAGCCUAUCAACAUUUUACGUUUUCUUGCCACGUCAUCUUUCAAAACAUGUGUAUAACAUAAGAUUUUCUCAAAGAAACAAUAUGAAUGUGGAAGCAUCUAAUUUUGUGUCUUAUAACAAAAUAAUCAUCUGAAAGCGACCAAUAUUGGGUUUUUACUCAUAUAAGAUUCAAAUCCAUCAAAAAGUAGUCGUUCGUAAACAUGGCAACAUUGCCCGACGAGAAUGCAUUAUUACAGUAAAGGAACAAUCAAGCAUAGGAAAUGUAUCAAUUAUGUUAGGAAAUAAAAGAAUCAGAAUAAUAUGACAAUAUGAAAAUCAAACAAGUAAACAAGAUUUACGUCGUAAAAAUAUACCACGAAUAGAAGAGGAGAAUUUAUUAAUAUUAAUAAUGGAGGAAUAUAAAUUAUACUGUAGAAUAUAAGGAUUGAUUUUUCUGGAGGUUUACUCCUCAUAUGCAUAAUGCAAAGAAGAGAUUAAAAUGUGGUGGAUUUCAACUAUAAUAAGUAUACAAUAGUGAAAUAUUUGGAAUAAAAUAGGAUUUAAAAAAUUGCCAACUUUGAGAACUGUUCCAAAUCCGGAUAAGACCGAGGCUCGAGGAGUGGUCUCACUACUAUCGGGCGGUGGCCAAUCACUUGAGUGCUGCCUCACAGACAUUGAGCACUGGAGCUCCUAUUUUGAGCGCUCUAGUGAGACCAAGGUGCAUAGCGAGUGCCAGUUUGGCGUUUCCUUCUCCUUGCACGAUUUCUUCCUCUUCUAUUACAACUUGGACUGCUUCAAUUCUUCUUCAAGUCCAAAACAAAUUUCAAACUCUCAAUUGAACUCCUGAAUUGAAUUCCCAAAUAGACUUCAAUUAAAAUUCCCAAAUAGUCUUCCAAAUGGAAUUCGGGUCACAUCCUAAUUCUAACAUAUUAUGAUAUAAAAAAUGUUGUAAAAGAUGUGCAAGGGAAGUGCAACGGUUGUGCGUCUGCACACGUGAAAGAAGAGCGAUAUCAUGUGUGUGUGUGGUGGAUUUUUUUGAUUCAUAAGCUAUCAUGUACAGGAAAAUUGAUUGUUGUCUUCCAUACAUGUUUAAUUUAUAGAAGUAUUUUAAAAUAUAUAAAAGAAAGCAAGCCUGUCUUCUCAAUGGUAAAAUUCCUGGUAUGUGAAAGUGAAAUUAAGCAUGAAGCAUUUCUUCCUUAUUGUCUGUCACGAUUUGUUUUUCCCCAUGACGGAAACACUAUAGGAAAAUCAGUUCUCCUCACUGCAGUUCAGUAAAGUAGAGUCAUGAAAAUCACACCUGCACCAAUAGUUCUUGCUGACUUACAAAAUUUGAGUUCACUGAAAAGGGGUACGUUGCUCCAAAAAUAUUAGGAAUUAGAGAGACACAAAAGAAGUUCUAGAAGCUAGGUUGCAGCCCAGUCAAUUGGUUAUGGCUUCUGGAGAGACUCCUAAUAUUGCAUCUGAAGCCAUUGACCAUGUUUGGAAAGCCAACAUUUGCCAAUGGUGCAAAAGAAGAUUUUAUUGGGUGCCCUUACAUGAGGGCUGCAAAUAGGCCUUCCUUCCCUUAAGUGGUUUACGAAGAAGAAGAUUUUUGGGUAUUGAC
rnacentral:lncRNA from 1 species